UAGGGAAUCUUCCACAAUGGACGCAAGUCUGAUGGAGCAACGCCGCGUGAGUGAAGAAGGUUUUCGGAUCGUAAAGCUCUGUUGUUGGUGAAGAAGGAUAGAGGCAGUAACUGGUCUUUAUUUGACGGUAAUCAACCAGAAAGUCACGGCUAACUACGUGCCAGCAGCCGCGGUAAUACGUAGGUGGCAAGCGUUGUCCGGAUUUAUUGGGCGUAAAGCGAGCGCAGGCGGAAUGAUAAGUCUGAUGUGAAAGCCCACGGCUCAACCGUGGAACUGCAUCGGAAACUGUCAUUCUUGAGUGCAGAAGAGGAGAGUGGAAUUCCAUGUGGAGCGGUGGAAUGCGUAGAUAUAUGGAAGAACACCAGUGGCGAAGGCGGCUCUCUGGUCUGCAACUGACGCUGAGGCUCGAAAGCAUGGGUAGCGAACAGG
rnacentral:rRNA from 1 species